AGAGUUUGAUCCUGGCUCAGAUUGAACGCUGGCGGCAGGCUUAACACAUGCAAGUCGAGCGGUAGCACAGGAGAGCUUGCUCUCUGGGUGACGAGCGGCGGACGGGUGAGUAAUGUCUGGGAAACUGCCUGAUGGAGGGGGAUAACUACUGGAAACGGUAGCUAAUACCGCAUAACGUCGCAAGACCAAAGAGGGGGACCUUCGGGCCUCUUGCCAUCAGAUGUGCCCAGAUGGGAUUAGCUAGUAGGUGGGGUAAUGGCUCACCUAGGCGACGAUCCCUAGCUGGUCUGAGAGGAUGACCAGCCACACUGGAACUGUGACACGGUCCAGACUCCUACGGGAGGCAGCAGUGGGGAAUAUUGCACAAUGGGCGCAAGCCUGAUGCAGCCAUGCCGCGUGUGUGAAGAAGGCCUUCGGGUUGUAAAGCACUUUCAGCGAGGAGGAAGGUGGUGAGCUUAAUACGCUCAUCAAUUGACGUUACUCGCAGAAGAAGCACCGGCUAACUCCGUGCCAGCAGCCGCGGUAAUACGGAGGGUGCAAGCGUUAAUCGGAAUUACUGGGCGUAAAGCGCACGCAGGCGGUUUGUUAAGUCAGAUGUGAAAUCCCCGGGCUCAACCUGGGAACUGCAUUUGAAACUGGCAAGCUAGAGUCUCGUAGAGGGGGGUAGAAUUCCAGGUGUAGCGGUGAAAUGCGUAGAGAUCUGGAGGAAUACCGGUGGCGAAGGCGGCCCCCUGGACGAAGACUGACGCUCAGGUGCGAAAGCGUGGGGAGCAAACAGGAUUAGAUACCUGGUAGUCCACGCUGUAAACGAUGUCGAUUUGGAGGUUGUGCCCUUGAGGCGUGGCUUCCGGAGCUAACGCGUUAAAUCGACCGCCUGGGGAGUACGGCCGCAAGGUUAAAACUCAAAUGAAUUGACGGGGGCCCGCACAAGCGGUGGAGCAUGUGGUUUAAUUCGAUGCAACGCGAAGAACCUUACCUACUCUUGACAUCCAGAGAACUUAGCAGAGAUGCUUUGGUGCCUUCGGGAACUCUGAGACAGGUGCUGCAUGGCUGUCGUCAGCUCGUGUUGUGAAAUGUUGGGUUAAGUCCCGCAACGAGCGCAACCCUUAUCCUUUGUUGCCAGCGGUUCGGCCGGGAACUCAAAGGAGACUGCCAGUGAUAAACUGGAGGAAGGUGGGGAUGACGUCAAGUCAUCAUGGCCCUUACGAGUAGGGCUACACACGUGCUACAAUGGCAUAUACAAAGAGAAGCGACCUCGCGAGAGCAAGCGGACCUCAUAAAGUAUGUCGUAGUCCGGAUUGGAGUCUGCAACUCGACUCCAUGAAGUCGGAAUCGCUAGUAAUCGUAGAUCAGAAUGCUACGGUGAAUACGUUCCCGGGCCUUGUACACACCGCCCGUCACACCAUGGGAGUGGGUUGCAAAAGAAGUAGGUAGCUUAACCUUCGGGAGGGCGCUUACCACUUUGUGAUUCAUGACUGGGGUGAAGUCGUAACAAGGUAACCGUAGGGGAACCUGCGGCUGGAUCACCUCCUU
rnacentral:rRNA from 1 species